rnacentral:piRNA from 1 species
GUCCAUGAUGAUUUCAAGUUAUCCCUGUCUGA